GCCAGGCGUGGUGGCAGGCGCCUGUAAUCCCAGCUACUCAGGAGGCUGAGGCAGGAGAAUUGCUUGAACCCGGGAGGCAGAGGUUGCAGUGAGCCAAGAUAGGGCCACUGCACUCCAGCCUGGGCAACAAAGCAAGACCCUGCCUCGA
rnacentral:SRP_RNA from 2 species